GCAAAUACGAUCUAAAACUCUCGCCAAACACCGAUAAGCGAUGUCUGUAAUCGAUCUGCCCUCACCUCGAAAAUUUCACUAAAAAUAUGUCCCUUCUGUCCAUGCCUGACUACGCCCUUGCAUACAGAUGAAGAUGUUGGGAAGCUUGAAUGCUAAUUUGUUGUAUGGACAUAAUAUACAUGUAAUAUGCAAGUCGGUGUGGACGGGAUAUAAGAAUCAGAUGAUAGGUGAUAGCUUUUCUAACUUAAUACACUCGUAUCUAUGGAAUUAACAAAGAGCAAAGUACAAACACCUGGUGCUUGAAAUCAUCCAAUUGCUCCAUUUAACCAUAUCUGAUUUACAUGGAGCUCAACUUUAGCCUCAAUAUGCAUUUCACAUAUUCAUCCAAAUGGAAUAACCGAAAAAGUAAUCAAGUUGAAAUAUUCACAAAAUCGAUUCGUCAGACCUUAACUUUCAGAAAUAAAGAAGUACUUGAAUGCUUUUUUUUUAA